GCGGGCUAUUUAAGCUCUCUGUGCCCUGCCCUCUGUUUGCUUGGCUGUGUUGCUGCUGCAGGAGCCAAUGUAGAAUUUCCAAAGGAAGCUAGCUUGCUAAUAGUAAGAUCAUAUCAUUUCAGGACAGCGUUUUGAGGAAAUAAUUGUGAGACUCAGUUCAUCUGCUGUGUGUCAUAUCAGCUGUGGGCCUAGCAGCAAACUGGAAGUUGGAGUUUGCUGUAGCUCCUGUCACAGUUUCAGAACAUGACUCCUCUCAAAGAGCACUGACACACCUUUACUUCAGCCAGAUGGUUUAUUGCUGAGACAUCGGGUAUCACUGCUUCUCUUCAACAAGGCUUCACUUUUCCCCUUGCCUUAACCCCCGAGGAUACCGACUCCAGUGAAGGUGGAGGACCUGGAGGACACUGAUAAGGCCUUUCCUUUAAACCUCAGCUCCACAGGCUGAGUGUGCAAAGAGAGGAAUGGAGCAGAGUGCACUGCACCACACAACCAUGUGGCCAUAUCAGAGAUCGAGCCAAGAAUUUUGUGUUUUGCUAUAGCCACAGGGGCAGCCUUGAGCCCUGGGUAGACAAUAUAAAAUAAAAACAGAGUCAUGUCAAAUCAGA